UACGGGGGGGGCAAGCGUUGUUCGGAAUUACUGGGCGUAAAGGGCUCGUAGGUUGCCAACUAAGUCAGACGUGAAAUCCCUCAGCUUAACUGGGGAACUGCGUCUGAUACUGGAUGGCUUGAGUUUGGGAGAGGGAUGCGGAAUUCCAGGUGUAGCGGUGAAAUGCGUAGAUAUCUGGAGGAACACCGGUGGCGAAGGCGGCAUCCUGGACCAACACUGACACUGAGGAGCGAAAGCCAGGGGAGCAAACGGG
rnacentral:rRNA from 1 species